UCUGCAGUGACUGCGGAGGACAUUA
rnacentral:rRNA from 1 species